UUCGCCAUCAUGAAGGUAAGGCCUGCCCAGUGGGAAUCUCAACGGCUGCGGUAUCUUGACCGUACUAAGGUAGCAUAAUCACUUGUCCCCUAAUUAGGGACUAGAAUCAAUGGCUAAACGAGUAGCUUAACUGUCUCAUCUGUAAAAAUAAAAACUUACUUUCAAGUGAAAAGGCUUGAAUAAACCAGGAGGACAAGCAAGACCCUAUGGAGCUUUAGGGGUUAAGUCUGUACAAAUCUAACAUUGAUGAAAAGAUCAAAAGUACUAAUCACUUUGGUUGGGGCAACCGAAGUACACACAAACCACUUCUUCAAGAAAUGCCGAUGGGCAAAAAGAUAUUUCACAAAGAUCCUAAAGUAAAGAUCAUGAGAAUAAAGUUACCCUAGGGAUAACAGCGUAAUUCUUCCUGAGAGCCCUUAUCGAAGGAAGAGGUUGCGACCUCGAUGUUGGACUAGGACAUCCCACAGGUGCAGAAGCUUGUAAUGGUGAGCCUGUUCGGCUCUUAAAGUCCUACGUGAUCUGAGUUCAAACCGGAUCCCGA
rnacentral:rRNA from 1 species